ensembl:lncRNA
ACCAAGUACAGUAAUGGUUGCCAGAUGCUGUUUCUUGGCUCCUUUUGGCUCUGGUGACUUCUUGGACUUUCCUGAUUUUUGAUGACCUCAACAGUUUCAAGGAAUACAGGUGAGAUGUUUUGAACACUAUUCCUCAAUUAGGGUUUGCCUGAUGUGAUUCUUAUGGUUGCACUGUGGUUGUGAGUGUUGGGGAGGAGACCCUUAGAGGGGAUGUGCCAUCCUUAUCGCAUCAUAUCAAGGGUACAUACUAUCAGCAUCAUAGUUGAUCUUGAUAUCACCUGGUUGAGGUCAUGUUGUCAGAUUUCUCCACUGUCCAGUUACUUUCCCUCUGCCUUUCUGUGCUAUACAUCUUGGAAGGAAGUCACUUUGUGCAGCCCAUGUUUGAAAGGGGAAUUAUGCUCCAUCUCCUUGAAAGCUGUGUAUCUAUAUACAUUAUUUGGAAUUAUUUGGUUUGUCUCUUCUUUCCCAAUUUUUAAAAAUCCAUUCAGUCAUUUAUUUAUAUCACUAAGGACUUGUGGAUCUUCACGACCCAGAUAAUCAUGAUGGUGUGAUGACUAAUCUAAAGCCAGACAUCUUGGAAUGUGAAGUCAAGUGGGCCUUGGAAAGCAUCGCUAUGAACAAAGCUAGUGGAGGUGAUGGAAUUCCAGUUGAGCUAUUUCAAAUCCUGAAAGAUGAUGCUGUGAAAGUGCUGCACUCAAUAUGCCAGCGGAAAACUCAGCAGUGGCC